UUUAGAUUUAAUUUUAGUCUUUUUAUUAGCUUAAAAAAAUUAUACAUAUAAAUUUAAAUUAAUUAAAAAAAGUUAGUUUAAAAUAUUUUUUCAUAAGGAAACUUAAAAAAAUUUUUAAUUUUCAAAUUUUGUGCCAGAAGUUUCGGUUAUACAAAUAAUUAAUUAAUAAAUUUUAGUAAUUAUAAAUAAUUUAAAUUAAGAAUUAAUAUAAAAAUUUUUGGUUAAAUAAAAAUAAAAUAAUAAUUUUCUUUAAAAAUUAUAUUUAUAAAAUAAAUAAAAUAACUAGGAUUAGAUACCCUAUUAAAAUUUAAUAUAAAAACUAAACCAUUAAAACUUAAAUGUUUAAAAUUAAAAAAUAUGGCAGUAUAAUAACUUAAUUAGGGGAUUUUGUUUAUUAAUUGAAAGUACACAAAAAACCUUACUUUAUUUUUAGCUUAUUUAUUUCCGUUUAAAAAAUUAAUAUAAAAUUUAAUUUUUAAAAAAUAACCUUAUUAAUUCAGGUCAAUAUAUAGUUUAUAAUAAAGUUUAAAUGAAAUACAUUAAAAAAAUUAUUUUUUAUUUAAAAUUUUUAUUAAAAUAAAAAUAUUUUAAAGAACUUAAAAGUAAUAAAAAAAUUAGAAUAAUUUUAUGAAUAAGUAAUUUUAUAUGCACAAAUUGCCCGUCAUUCUUAUAAAUUAGACAAGUCGUAACAUAGUAAAUGUAUUGGAAAAUGUAUUUAG
rnacentral:rRNA from 1 species